rnacentral:tRNA from 1 species
GCUUCCAUGGUGAAAUUGGUAGACACGGUAGAUUCAAAAUCUGUUGUCUUUUGACAUGUCGGUUCAAAUCCGGCUGGAAGUA